UUUGUUUUUUAAUUAAAAACUAGAAUGAAAGAUUUUACAUUUUAAUUUCUUUAUUAAAUAUUAAUAUAAAUUUAUAUUAAAUAUAAAAAUAUAUUUAUAAUAUAAAAAGACGACAAGACCCUAUUAAAUUUUACUUAUUGUUUAGCUGGGGCAGCUUUUUAAAAAAAAUUUUAAAUUAUAUAUAUAUAUAUAUAUAUAUAAAUCUAAUAUAAUUAAAUUUAAUCAAUUACUAUAGGGAUAACAGCGUUAUAUUUUUUUCAAGUUCAUAUUUAAAAAAAUUAUUGCGACCUCGAUGUUGAAUUAUAUUUUCUUUAUUAAUGCAACAAUUAUAAAAGUAGGUSUGUUCGACCUUUAAAAUAUUACAUGAUCU
rnacentral:rRNA from 1 species